GACGAACGCUGGCGGCGUGCUUAACACAUGCAAGUCGAACGGAAAGGCCCUGCUUUUGUGGGUUGCUCGAGUGGCGAACGGGUGAGUAACACGUGAGUAACCUGCCCUUGACUUUAGGAUAACUUCAGGAAACUGGGGCUAAUACCGGAUAGGAGCUCCUGCUGCAUGGUGGGGGUUGGAAAGUUUCGGCGGUUGGGGAUGGACUCGCGGCUUAUCAGCUUGUUGGUGGGGUAGUGGCUUACCAAGGCUUUGACGGGUAGCCGGCCUGAGAGGGUGACCGGCCACAUUGGGACUGAGAUACGGCCCAGACUCCUACGGGAGGCAGCAGUGGGGAAUAUUGCACAAUGGGCGGAAGCCUGAUGCAGCAACGCCGCGUGCGGGAUGACGGCCUUCGGGUUGUAAACCGCUUUCGCCUGUGACGAAGCGUGAGUGACGGUAAUGGGUAAAGAAGCACCGGCUAACUACGUG
rnacentral:rRNA from 1 species